UAGGGAAUCUUUCGCAAUGGACGCAAGUCUGACGGAGCAACGCCGCGUGAGUGAAGAAGGAUUUCGGUUCGUAAAACUCUGUUGUUAGAGAAGAACAGCGCAUAGAGUAACUGUUAUGCGUGUGACGGUAUCUAACCAGAAAGCCACGGCUAACUACGUGCCAGCAGCCGCGGUAAUACGUAGGUGGCAAGCGUUGUCCGGAUUUAUUGGGCGUAAAGCGAGCGCAGGCGGUCAAUUAAGUCUGAUGUGAAAGCCCCCGGCUCAACCGGGGAGGGUCAUUGGAAACUGGUUGACUUGAGCGCAGAAGAGGAGAGUGGAAUUCCAUGUGUAGCGGUGAAAUGCGUAGAUAUAUGGAGGAACACCAGUGGCGAAGGCGACUCUCUGGUCUGUAACUGACGCUGAGGCUCGAAAGCGUGGGUAGCAAACAGG
rnacentral:rRNA from 1 species